GUGGGGAAUAUUGGGCAAUGGGCGCAAGCCUGACCCAGCAACGCCGCGUGAAGGAAGAAGGCUUUCGGGUUGUAAACUUCUUUUACCAGGGACGAAACAAAUGACGGUACCUGGUGAAUAAGCCACGGCUAACUACGUGCCAGCAGCCGCGGUAAUACGUAGGUGGCGAGCGUUAUCCGGAUUUAUUGGGUGUAAAGGGCGCGUAGGCGGGGCAGCAAGUCAGAUGUGAAAAUUAUGGGCUCAACCCAUAACCUGCAUUUGAAACUGUUGUUCUUGAGUGAUGGAGAGGCAGGCGGAAUUCCGUGUGUAGCGGUGAAAUGCGUAGAUAUACGGAGGAACACCAGUGGCGAAGGCGGCCUGCUGGACAUUAACUGACGCUGAUGCGCGAAAGCGUGGGGAGCAAACAGGAUUAGAAACCCCGGUAGUCC
rnacentral:rRNA from 1 species